AAAACAAGAAAGAGAGAAAAAAUGAGGCAACUUUGAUGAGGCGCGCUCCCGACAGCUUCAUCCCAAACGCGCGUCCCCUGUGGUGGGAAAGUGAGCCGAAAGACAGCAGAACUGCAGAGUGGCACGGCGCGCCUGUCCGCGAGGGUCUCCGAGGGUCUCCGCGUGGUCAUGAGCGCAGAGCAGGGGGCCUAACGAUCCGGCGCAUCGCUGCGGGAGCUGCCCGUCGUUCCACCGGGAAGGCCCUUCUUCAAAUGGACGGUUUGCCGUGACUUUCUGUACGGAAACGAGCCCUCUUUUCCCGCGCACCUCCCUCAAAUAGCUGACGUGCCAGGUUUGUUGGAAAAUUAGUGAAUUUAAUUUCCUUGAGUAAUGAAAAUGUCAUGCACCAUUUAAUAAAACUCAAUGAAAAAAGUCA
rnacentral:lncRNA from 1 species